rnacentral:tRNA from 1 species
GCCCAGGUAGCUCAGUCGGUAGAGCAGCGGACUGAAAAUCCGCGUGUCGGUGGUUCAAUUCCGCCCCUGGGCA